UGUGAGAUUUAAGCCUGGGAAAAAAUAGGAAAGGGGAUAAGGAUGGCCACAUGGCCACCAUGCACAUGGAUGGGGAGAUUCCCUCCCCCUCCGAGGCUGCCAUGUCAUCUAAAUUAAUCAAUCUCACCAUCCUUAUCCCUUCCCUAUUAUAUAAACACCCAAACAACACAUUUUCCCAUUUUUCAAUCAACCUAAACAAAAAAAAGAGAGAAAGACGAGAGGAGGUCACUAGAAAUAAGAAGAAGGUCUGCCACCGGAGCCACUGCACCGGAAGAAGAAAACUGGAAAAAGAGGAGGAAAGGCUGAAGUUUGAGAGGACAGAGAGUGCUCAUUUUGUAGUGAUCUUAAAUGAUAUGAAGAACAAGAAAAAGAAAACAAGUAAAUCUGUUACGGUUUUAAUACAACAGAAGAUUCAGACAAAAAAUGUUUGUUUCUUCUGUAAAGCUCUGGGGGACAAAAAAAAAAA